rnacentral:tRNA from 1 species
GUUCUUUUAGUUGAAUGACAACGGUGAUUUUUCAGAUCAUAGGUCCUGGUUGUCCAGGAAGGAAU